GGAAGUGGAAGAUAUUGUUCAGGUGCAAGUAAAAUAUAUUUAAGUAUCGGACUCACAAGUGUAGAAUCAAAAGAAAGUGACAACAAAGCCUUAUCUCAAAUACACUUUUCAACAACUACUUUUCUUCACUCUGAAGGAGCCGUGAACUUUCUCACUGUGCAACAGCCCAAGGUGAAGCAGAGCAGACGGGAGGGACGUGGCUGGGUGCUUUACUCUUCCCCAGCAGAGGAAGGCAGCAUCUCGCCCCAAACCACAGCCUCUGGAUCUUGUCUUACAGCGUUAGUGUUGAUGAAUGGAAAAAGAAAAGAGGAUAUUAAGUACUGGACUUGGACCCAAUUUUCAUUUGAAUGUACCAUUACUGUCACUGGACUUCAAAAAAGCAUUCUUCUAUUUCAGAUGAACCUAUGGCUUGGAUUAUCAAAUGCCAGUGACUCCAAUGAAAAGGAACUACGUUUAGCAUUUUCUCAGGUGCCACCCAGCACUCAAAACAGUCAGAUGUGACCUGGAGAACAAUCAAGUACAGCCACAAGUCAACCCACCGAUCUGACCAUACACCAUCUUUGAUUGUCUUCUACAAGAAUGAAGCUCUCACAUGAAAUGGCAUUUGGGGAAACAUAUAUACUUCUCAACCUGAAAGAUGACCAAGGGCUCCUUCCUUCACAUGUUUUGUACGCGUAACGAACAAACUACUAUAUUUGGGUCCCCUGUGAUGAGAUGUGGCUCUCCCAUGAAAUCCCAAGUGAGAUGGAGAGCCUCAGAAUCACCUUCCUCUCCCCAGUUCAUAUUUAUCUAUCUUCUGGAAUACAAAUUCUGAAGCAAAACUGAGUCUUCCCAAGCCAGCAAAAGCUUCCUAAACGUUCUUUUCCACCCUCAAGCCCGCAAGCCAUUUCUCACAAGCCAUCUGCCCUAACUUUGGCAUGAGGACAACCUGGUUAGAUGAAGGUUGGCAGCAACGUUGCCACUUAAGACAGUCCUCUCUGAAAAAGUAACUGCUCAAAAUGAAGUUUCCUUGACCACUCACAAUUCAAACAGGUUUCCUUCAACAUUUAAAUUAAAUCAUUGUUCCACAUAAAUAAAUCACAUCCAAAGAGUGAUGUAUAACUACCCCAGGACACAUUCCACCCUGUCACAGCUAUGUAAACUCAGUAAGUGAACUUAGGGAAAUGAACAAAAAUGAAGAGUUAUAAAAGACAAGCAUGACUGCCCUAUCUGGGUAGAAAUGAAGGACAGAAGAUGAGAGAUACACCUAUGUCAUACAGCCUUAAAAAGUAUUUAAUUCUUUAGCUGAUCUUUGCAAGGUAAGCACCAUUACUCCAUAGACAUCCAUAUGAAUAGUUUUACUUAUAGCAUUUGUCCCAUUAAACUCAGUGAGACCAACAAACUUCA
rnacentral:lncRNA from 1 species